CUAAGCAUAGAGUUGUCUCUAGAGCUAGACUAGGCUUACCCUAGUUCAGAGUCUGAACCAAAAUCUAUUGAAUCUAGCAAGUCUAGGUUCCAGUCUAGUCUUAGCUGUGACGACCCAGAGCCCAGUGCCAGUGGAGACGGAGGCCAACGCUAGUUGAGGAAGAGACAGAGGCCAGUGCCAAUUGAGAUAGAGGCUAGCGCCGGUUGAGGAAGAGACAGAGGUCAGCGCCAGUUGAGACAGAGGCCGGCUCCAGUUGAGACAAAGGCCAACGCCGGUUGAGGAAGAGACAGAGGCCAGCGCCAAUUGGGACAGAGGCCAAUGCCAGUUGAGGAAGAGAUAGAGGCCAGUGCCAGUUGAGACAGGGGCCUGUGCCUGUUGAGGAAGAGACAGAGGCCAGCGCCAGUUGAGACAGAGGCCAGCGCCAAUUGGGACAGAGGCCAAUGCCAGUUGAGGAAGAGAUAGAGGCCAGUGCCAGUUGAGACAGGGGCAUGUGCCUGUUGAGGAAGAGACAGAGGCCAGCGCCAGUUGAGACAGAGGCCAGCGCCAAUUGAGAGAGGUCAGCCCCAGUUGAAGGGCAGCGCCAGCUGGAGAGAGAGAGACUAGCACCAGCUGGGUUUUGACAUGCAUAGAUUGACAAUGCCACUUAUUAGAUGCAUACUGAUGUAAGUGCCACUUGUCCAGAUUUUAAGUCUUUUGAUGACACUUGGACCACCACCCCAAACAUAAGAGUAUUUAAGCCCCUCUCACUCACUCUCAUGCCACUCAUUUCCUACACACUCUCUCUCUCUAGAGCCAACCCUUGAGCUCAUUGCUGCUCCCUUGACGAAGCAAUUGUUAGAAGCUUGAGGGGAUUGUGAAAGGGGAAAUUGGAGACGGUAUUGCUUGCUAGAGUGACAGUAUUGACCUAGAAGACAGGCAGCGGGCUCGUGUACCGAUCGGUUGGAGUUUGAGUUUUGAAGGAAGGUUAAUGCAGAAGCUGUUCAUAAGUGAUAGCCAUGAGUGGAGGACGGGCGGCCUAGCGAUUGGAGCUCCAAGCUUUCGU